CUCAGUUCGGAUCGGAGUCUGCAACCCGACUCCGUGAAGCUGGAUUCGCUAGUAAUCGCGCAUCAGCCAUGGCGCGGUGAAUACGUCCCCGGGCCUUGUACACACCGCCCGUCAAGCCAUGGGAGCCGGGGGUGCUUGAAGUGCGUCGCCGCAAGGCGCGCCCUAGAGCAAAACCGGUGACUGGGGCUAAGUCGUAACAAGGUAAC
rnacentral:rRNA from 1 species